UACGUAGGGUGCAAGCGUUAAUCGGAAUUACUGGGCGUAAAGCGUGCGCAGGCGGCUUUGCAAGUCAGAUGUGAAAUCCCCGGGCUUAACCUGGGAACUGCAUUUGAGACUGCACGGCUAGAGUACGGCAGAGGGAGAUGGAAUUCCGCGUGUAGCAGUGAAAUGCGUAGAUAUGCGGAAGAACACCGAUGGCGAAGGCAAUCCCCUGGGCCUGUACUGACGCUCAUGCACGAAAGCGUGGGGAGCAAACAGG
rnacentral:rRNA from 1 species